rnacentral:tRNA from 1 species
GGCUUCGUGGCCUAAUGGCUAGGGCGCUAGAUUUCGGCUCUAGAGAUUGUCGGUUCGAGUCCGGCCGAAGUCG